ensembl:snRNA U6 U6 spliceosomal RNA
GUGCUCACCUCAGAAAUACAUAUACUAAAAUUGGAAUGAUACAGAGUAGAUUAGCAUGGCCUCUGUGCAAGGAUGGCAUGCAAAUUCAUGAAGCAUUCCAUAUUUAA